rnacentral:tRNA from 1 species
CGGGGAGUAGUAUAGAGGUAGUACACAUGGCUGGGGGUCAUGUAGCUCGAGUUCGAUUCUCGGCUCCCCGA